GGGACCCUGCUGUGUUCGGGAUGAAACUGGCCUUGGUAUGAGCCAACACCAUUACCAAGGGAAUUCGGACUCUAAUAGUGGAUUGUAGGCCUUAAGGGCAAGGAAACAUGAAGCUAUUAGGAGAAUACCCACCUGCUGAGAGCAGGUUCAUUCGGGUCAGUUCAACGACAUGGUGGGGAGAGA
rnacentral:other from 1 species